rnacentral:rRNA from 1 species
UACAGAGGUGGCAAGCGUUGUUCGGAAUUACUGGGCGUAAAGGGCGCGUAGGCGGCCUUCUAAGUCAGACGUGAAAUCCCCCGGCUUAACCUGGGAACUGCGUCUGAUACUGGGAGGCUUGAGUAUGGGAGAGGGAUGUAGAAUUCCAGGUGUAGCGGUGAAAUGCGUAGAUAUCUGGAGGAAUACCGGUGGCGAAGGCAGGUCUCUGGGCUGACACUGACGCUCAUGCACGAAAGCGUGGGGAGCAAACAGG